rnacentral:rRNA from 1 species
UCGCAAGAUUAAAACUCAAAGGAAUUGACGGGGACCCGCACAAGCGGUGGAUGAUGUGGAUUAAUUCGAUGCAACGCGAAAAACCUUACCUACCCUUGACAUGUCAGGAAUCUUUGAGAGAUCAGAGAGUGCCCGAAAGGGAACCUGAACACAGGUGCUGCAUGGCUGUCGUCAGCUCGUGUCGUGAGAUGUUGGGUUAAGUCCCGCAACGAGCGCAACCCUUGUCAUUAGUUGCUACAUUUAGUUGAGCACUCUAAUGAGACUGCCGGUGACAAACCGGAGGAAGGUGGGGAUGACGUCAAGUCCUCAUGGCCCUUAUGGGUAGGGCUUCACACGUCAUACAAUGGUACAUACAGAGGGCCGCCAACCCGCGAGGGGGAGCUAAUCCCAGAAAGUGUAUCGUAGUCCGGAUCGUAGUCUGCAACUCGACUACGUGAAGUUGAAAUCGCUA